AUUGAACGCUGGCGGCAUGCUUUACACAUGCAAGUCGAACGGUAACAGGUUAAGCUGACGAGUGGCGAACGGGUGAGUAAUGCAUCGGAACGUGCCCGGUCGUGGGGGAUAACGCAGCGAAAGCUGCGCUAAUACUGCACACGAACUGCGGAUGACAGCGGGGGUCCGGAAGGCCUCGCUCCUUCGGCGCGGCCGAUGUCAGCUUAGUUAGUUGGUGGGUUAAAGGCUCACCAAGCCAACGAGCUGUAGCUGGUGUGAGAGGACGACCAGCCACACUGGGACUGGGACACGGCCCAGACUCCUACGGGAGGCAGCAGUGGGGAAUUUUGGACAAUGGGCGAAAGCCUGAUCCAGCAAUGCCGCGUGAAGGAAGAAGGCCUUCGGGUUGUAAACUGCUUUUGUACGGAGCGAAAAGGUCUCCUCUAAUACAGGGGGCUCAUGACGGUACCGUAAGAAUAAGCACCGGCUAACUACGUGCCAGCAGCCGCGGUAA
rnacentral:rRNA from 1 species